rnacentral:lncRNA from 1 species
UGAUUCAUCGUGAAAGCAAAAGCCAUGUUGAUGACAUGAUGGCAAAGUCCCAAGCAGAACAGGGGCAUCCGGUAGACUCGGGGCAAGUUGUUUGACCGUUUUAGAUAACUCAUACUGUUGAGUCUGAAUCAGUGCACUUAUGGAGUGUUGUCCAUCAAGCUACCGAGGCUUGUUGUGAACGAAUCAGAGGAAUCGAGGUCGAUCCUGC